rnacentral:rRNA from 1 species
GCAGGCUGCAACCCGCCUGCAUGAAGUCGGAAUCGCUAGUAAUCGCGAGUCAGCAUAUCGCGGUGAAUACGUUCCCGGGUCUUGUACACACCGCCCGUCACACCAUGGGAGUUGGCAACACCCGAAGUCGAUGAGCUAACCUUUUAGGAGGCAGUCGCCUAAGGUGGGGUUGAUAACUGGGGUGAAGUCGUAACAAGGUAAC